AAAGGGAGACCUAAUUCAGGUAGGAGACGAAAAAAAAGUAGUCCCUACCAAGAAUCAAUCCCAAAAGGUCGGAACGAGGUAUGAGGCUUUCAAACUAGGUUCUGGGUUCAUAAAAGACCUGAAUCAGGAACAAGGGCUAUUAGCUCAGGUGGUUAGAGCGCACCCCUGAUAAGGGUGAGGUCCCUGGUUCGAGUCCAGGAUGGCCCACCUGCACAGGUGGCAAAAACAAGAGAAGCGAGGAAUCAGCACCUUAUCUUAUAUACAUAUAUAAGAGAGAAUGCUGGCUCUGAGUACAGAGUCCAGAGGAACCCUGAAAACUGCAUAGAGCUAGGUGAAAAAGCCAAAAAAGAAGACCGCAAG
rnacentral:tRNA from 1 species